AGAAUCAACGCUGGCGGCGUGCCUAACACAUGCAAGUCGCACGAGAAAGGGUAGCAAUACCUUAGUACAGUGGCGCACGGGUGAGUAACACGUGAAUAAUCUACCUCCGAGUGGGGAAUAACUGAGAGAAAUCUUAGCUAAUACCGCAUAACACUUACGAGUCAAAGCAGCAAUGCGCUUGGAGAGGAGUUCGCGGCAGAUUAGUUAGUUGGCGGGGUAAUGGCCCACCAAGACGAUGAUCUGUA
rnacentral:rRNA from 1 species